AGCUCCAAUAGCGUAUAUUAAAGUUGUUGCAGUUAAAAAGCUCGUAGUUGGAUUUCGGAUUGGGCCAGUUGGUCGGCCGCAAGGUCUGUUACUGACUGGUUCGGUCUUCUUCGCAAAGACUGCGUGUGCUCUUCGUUGAGUGUGCGUAGGAUUUACGACGUUUACUUUGAAAAAAUUAGAGUGUUCAAAGCAGGCUAUCGCUUGAAUACAUGAGCAUGGAAUAAUGGAAUAGGACUUUGGUUCUAUUUUGUUGGUUUCUAGGGCCGAAGUAAUGAUUAAGAGGGACAGUUGGGGGCAUUCGUAUUUAAUUGUCAGAGGUGAAAUUCUUGGAUUUAUGAAAGACGAACUAGUGCGAAAGCAUUUGCCAAGGAUGUUUUCAUUAAUCAAGAACGAAAGUAGG
rnacentral:rRNA from 1 species